rnacentral:rRNA from 1 species
UACGGAGGGUGCAAGCGUUAUCCGGAUUCACUGGGUUUAAAGGGUGCGUAGGUGGGCUUGUAAGUCAGUGGUGAAAUCCCCGAGCUUAACUCGGGAACUGCCAUUGAUACUAUAAGUCUUGAAUAUUUGUGGAGGUCAGCGGAAUAUGUCAUGUAGCGGUGAAAUGCUUAGAUAUGACAUAGAACACCAAUUGCGAAGGCAGCUGGCUACGCAUAUAUUGACACUGAGGCACGAAAGCGUGGGGAUCAAACAGG